AUUGAACGCUGGCGGCAGGCCUAACACAUGCAAGUCGAACGGUAACAGGAAUCAGCUUGCUGAUUUGCUGACGAGUGGCGGACGGGUGAGUCAUGUCUGGGAAACUGCCUGAUGGAGGGGGAUAACUACUGGAAACGGUAGCUAAUACCGCAUAACGUCGCAAGACCAAAGAGGGGGACCUUCGGGCCUCUUGCCAUCGGAUGUGCCCAGAUGGGAUUAGCUAGUAGGUGGGGUAAAGGCUCACCUAGGCGACGAUCCCUAGCUGGUCUGAGAGGAUGACCAGCCACACUGGAACUGAGACACGGUCCAGACUCCUACGGGAGGCAGCAGUGGGGAAUAUUGCACAAUGGGCGCAAGCCUGAUGCAGCCAUGCCGCGUGUAUGAAGAAGGCCUUCGGGUUGUAAAGUACUUUCAGCGGGGAGGAAGGGAGUAAAGUUAAUACCUUUGCUCAUUGACGUUACCCGCAGAAGAAGCACCGGCUAACUCCGUG
rnacentral:rRNA from 1 species